rnacentral:rRNA from 1 species
CACGAACGCUGGCGGCAGGCUUAACACAUGCAAGUCGAGCGCCCCGCAAGGGGAGCGGCAGACGGGUGAGUAACGCGUGGGAAUCUACCCAUCUCUACAGAAUAACGCAUGGAAACGUGUGCUAAUACCGUAUGCGUCCUUCGGGAGAAAGAUUUAUCGGAGAUGGAUGAGCCCGCGUUGGAUUAGCUAGUUGGUGGGGUAAAGGCCUACCAAGGCGACGAUCCAUAGCUGGUCUGAGAGGAUGAUCAGCCACACUGGGACUGAGACACGGCCCAGACUCCUACGGGAGGCAGCAGUGGGGAAUAUUGGACAAUGGGCGCAAGCCUGAUCCAGCCAUGCCGCGUGAGUGAUGAAGGCCCUAGGGUUGUACAGCUCUUUCACCGGUGAAGAUAAUGACGGUAACCGGAGAAGAAGCCCCGGCUAACUUCGUGCCAGCCGCCGCAGUAACAC